UACAGGGGGUGCAAGCGUUGUUCGGAAUUACUGGGCGUAAAGGGAGCGUAGGCGGAACUACAAGACAGAGGUUAAAUCUCCGGGCUCAACCUGGAACUUGCCUUUGUGACUGUGGUUCUUGAGUAUGGUAGAGGUUGGCGGAAUUUCCGGUGUAGCGGUGGAAUGCGUAGAGAUCGGAAAGAACACCAGAGGCGAAGGCGGCCAACUGGACCAAUACUGACGCUGAGGCUCGAAAGCGUGGGGAGCAAAC
rnacentral:rRNA from 1 species